GUUGGAAGGGACCUUAAAGACUACCUAGUUUCAACCUCCCUGCCGUGGGCAGGAAUGGCACUCACUAAAUCAGGUUGCUCAGGGCCACAUCCAACCUGGCCUUGAACACCUCCAGGAUCUAUAUUAAAUCCUUUUGAUCUACAUUAAACGCUUUUGAUCUGCAUUAAAUCUUCAGUGAAAUAUUAUUUAUUCAUGGAUCAAGAGACGUAAUAUAAUCAAUUCUCAAGAUACAUUCAGAUUUUUCAGUACCUCAGCAAUUUGAGGCCCAGGAAAGCUCAAUAUAAAUCCCUUUUCCUCUCCUGUUGACCAAAUGAAAUAAUUCACAUUUUUUCUGCUAAUGAAUGACAUAACCUAUGUUAUGCAGAAAAUUUGAAUGGAUUAAGCAAAUACAUAAGUGUAGCAAAAAUCUGUAUUUCAGUUUGUUUCAAACCCUUCUUCAUUCCUUAUAUAAUUCAGACAAGAGAGGCAAUCAGGCCUUGGAGCUACUUUCCAAUGUUGCAUUUACCUUUCCAUGCCCACUUACCUUACUGGGAGCAGCUGCUGUGCCCCUCUGGAUCUCCUCCCAUCCACUCAAUCCAUUGCUCAGACCACUUUAGAAGGAGACACUAGAUGGAAAAAAUUGUGGAUGUCUGUUGAUCCAGCAUUUUGUCACUGUGAUGGUGAGCUGUCCUUUGCUUUCUGCUGGUCCUCAGGACACUGCAUCCCACUUUGCCUCAUUGGCACAGGCAUAUGCCUGCCCUGAGUUUCCUCAAGAAUUAAUUUCUUUGUUCACAUGCUCCACAGUCAGACUGAUGCCAGCUGGUGCUAACCAGCUAUGAGCAUGGGUGAUGUCCUGGUCUGAAAGUCCUCAUCAUGUGACACCCUCUGUACACCUGAUUAAAAUCAGUGCCUGUUGUGACCAGGCAGUAUUUCGGGUCCUGGUCUGGUUCCCCCCCAAGCUGGACUUCACACACAGUUUGGCUCUUGUCCACAGUGAUGGAUCUGAUUUUGCAGAUGAACCUUUAGAAGGCAAAUGGUGCAGACUGUAGUGCUGAUAACACAUAAAUGCAGGACUUCCUCUUCAUAGCUUUGAUGUCUGUGUAGUUACACUGAAGAGGAAGUCACGAGUUCUCACAUUUUACUUUAAAAGCUGAAAUAAGAGGCUGCUGCACUUUCUUCCAGGCCCAAGACUGACUGGAAAGGUAGAGAAUGUUUAACUUCUCACACAAACCCUGCCUAGUACAUUGUGUACUCUUGUGCUGAGUGGCUGCUCCCCAUUCUUCCCAUCAUUUUAGGCACUCUGGGCCCUCUUUUGCACUGUGAGAAGGGCUAAUGCCAUUGUGGGAAAGGAAAACAAAUGUCUAUGCAAUUAUUCUUAUCCCCUCUUUUAUAUAAGUAGAACUGUCUUUGGAUCUUUCCAGUAAUAAUUAUCUAACACAAGCCCAAACGCUUUUAAUGAACUGAAGUAAACACCCAGACAAAUCUUAACUCCCUGUAGGAAGGAUUCAGUGAUGAAGGAUUUCCCUGGAGCCUCUCUUUUUUGUGAUAUUUGUUUCUGUAACUGUUUUAAUCUUUCUUAUGUGAAAUAUCCUUAAUGAAAUGACACCUUUGGUUAUAGUAUUGUUUGAAGGUAUACCAGAGAUUGGUAACUCUGCUAACAGUAAUAGCAUGAUUUAGUUUUUACAUCCCAGGUUUUCAAUAUUUGCAUAAACUUCUAGGAAUCUCUUUCACAAAAAAUAAUCCAAAUAUGUGAAGUGAAAGAAGAGAACUGAGAAGUGAUUUGCACACAGAAAGGGUUCCUGUACACACAGCAGCAAAACAAGAUCGCAGCACCAUGUGAACUUGAAAACCAGGUGAACUUGAAAACCUUCACCUGUGCUCCUAUGUCUUUGUUUGCCUUAGUUCUUAAAGAAAUGGUAAAUGAAAGCAAACAAAAAAACCAAAAAACCCCAACCCAAUCCCCUAAAAAGAUGGACAUGCAAGGGAACACAAAUGCUGGCUACCUCCUACCAGCAAGACUGAUCAUUCCAGUAUCUGUGAGAAAAGGAAUUAAAAAUAGUAUGUGUGAAGUACCAUCAGGGUCUAGCCCCACUGCCUGUGGGACGAUCCAUUUCUACCUAUUUAUUGCAACCUUUCUGUUCUAAGGAUAACUUUCUAUAGGUCUAUUAGCCUAUAGAUGAAAUAGGCUAUAGCCAGAAGGCCAGUUUUUAAACAUAGUCUGUCUUUUGAAGUGCCUUAGAGGAGGUUUCAGGUUUUAUAGGUUAUAUCAACUCUGAUGAACAAUUUUUGCUUUUGACAAUGCCGAAUUAUUGGCAUUGAUAAGAUGCCAAUUGAUAAGAUGAUGCCCUUUAUGCAAGAGCAUAAAGGCAUAGGAUAAGCUGAAGUAAGACAAAUUUAGAGUAUAUAUUAGUAAGAAAUUCUUUACUGUGAAAGUGGUGAGAUACUGGCAUAGGUUGUCCAGGGAAGUUGUUGAUGUCCCAACCCUGGAAAUAUUCAAGGCCAGGUUGGAUGGGGCUUUGAGCAACCUGAUCUAGGUGUCCCUGCCCAUGGCAAGGAGUUUGGAACUAGAUGAUCUUGAAGGUCCCUUCCAACCCACGCCAUUCCAUGAUUCUAUGACUGUCUCCUAAAACUUGAAUUACUAGUCUGCUGGAGAGCAAAGAUUGAGCUGAGGUGACUAUACAAUUUUUUCAGGAGAGGCAAGUAAAAAUUAUUUGCAUCAUCCCUGCAUACAUUUUCCCAGGUUAUUCACUGAGUAUGUAGGCAGAUGUGCCCUACCAAGGAUAAAAGAUAAAUGUACAGUCAUAUUCAGGUACCACGGUGUGUGUUCCAGUUGACCAUACUCAAGUGUUUGCUUUGUGAGCCCACUGCCUUUCACACAUUCCCAGUGUUACCUGUCACACAAGCGUCAGUGGAUGUACCAAUGUUCCUAACACUGUUUACUUUUCCUCUUUCACCUGCAGGCAGCUGGUCCUUAGCAAGGGCAGCUGCUGUGUCAGAGCACCAGCUGUGCUCCCAGGCUGAGCCCCACACACUGAAGGCCACCAGCUCUGUUCUCUGUUACACAGUUCUCAAGCUUUUCUAGUCUGGGAUCUUUACACUCCCUCUCUCCUUCUUAAUUUCUGUCAUAUUCUGCCCCUGCUGCAUAGUUUGCAUUUAUUUGCAUAAAAUAGUUACUUUUACAACUGCUUACAUAAAUGCAUAUUCAAUUUUCCUCCAGCUCAUUCUGUGCAUCACACACUGAUGUUUUGCACUCUUCACAGUCCCCAGCAUCACUAAAAUAGUCACUCUCCAUGAAAGUACUUUUCAGGAUGUGAGCUGAGGAGCUGCAGCACAGCGGUGUUACCAGCUUGUGCCAUUGAAACACCACUCACAGUGCUGUUUGCUAAUGCUCUGGCUUGUGGCAGACAUGUAAAGGUGAGUUUUCCAACUUACCUAUAACAGAAAGGAGUGUAUUGCUAGGGCUGUCUUAAUGCCAAAGACCUCAAAAGUAAAUGUCAGAAUAAUUGUGCUCAAUGACAGCAAAAAAAAAAAAAAAAAAAAAAAAAAAAA
ensembl:lncRNA